rnacentral:rRNA from 1 species
UACGGAGGGUGCAAACGUUGCUCGGAAUCAUUGGGCGUAAAGCGCACGUAGGUGGCCUGUUAAGUCGGGUGUGAAAUCCCCGGGCUCAACCCGGGAACUGCGUCCGAUACUGGAAGGCUUGAAUCCGGGAGAGGGAUGUGGAAUUCCAGGUGUAGCGGUGAAAUGCGUAGAUAUCUGGAGGAACACCGGUGGCGAAGGCGACAUCCUGGACCGGUAUUGACGCGUGAGGCGCGAAAGCCAGGGGAGCAAAGCGGG